UUCUACAGGGGGUCAAGCCCACAACCCGGACAUGUGCCCUGACCAGGAGUCCAACCGGUGACCUCUUGGUUCCUGGGUCGAUGCUCAAACAUUGAGCUACACCGGCGAGGCCGAGCUCUCUUAAUUUACGUUCCCUCCAAAAGCAGAAUCUAUGACAUGAGACAUGAUCUUACGGGCAAACCGUUUACUUUUGGAAAUGAUGUCGAGGGUCAGGAAUGGGGCCUUGGAAGAGAGAAACCGGUGACCUGCUGGGGCCAGAGGCGAGGCACUGCGGGUGCAGGUCUGAGCAGAGAGCUCACCCCGUGUUUGCGCGAUGACGGAGGGACUGGCUGCAGAGUCGGCCUGGCUCACCUGCUCAGCGGGUGGCAGAAAUGAGGCCCCGGGACCCGCAGUCUAGACCCGAGUUCUUUCGGGAGCCGCUGUAGAGAAGUCCCAGGACACACAAGGAAAACCCCUCAGAUGAGAGGCAGUGGAGCCCAGCAGUGACAGCGCGUCCAGCAAACAGCAGCCUUUGAGCACUCCUGUUGCUAAUCACUCUGGAGCCACAUUCCUGCUGGGAAUCUCUGUCCUCGCCAGGAUGUCAAGGGCUGAUGGGCGCCUGUCCGCGGAGAGGAAGUGGAGCCGUCUUCCUGUUUCUCUUUUCUUCACUGUCAGUCCCCAAGUAGGGACGCAUCCCGCGCUGCCCUUGCUGAGUGAGCUCUGCUGGUGAGGGACGAAGGGGCCCGGCUCCCGUGAUUCCACCGGGAAAUGGAGCUGCCUGACUUAGGGCCGAGCCGCAGAAGCUGUGCCCGGGCCCGGAAGGCAGGGCUGCUGGGAGCCUGAGCUUCUCUUACCUGCUAACAUAAAAGCAAGCAUCACCUAGCAUUCUCGUUGGAACAACACUUAUCUGUCAGUUGAGGGCAAGCAUAGGUUGGCUAUAAAUACACAAGUUUGGCAAAAAUCAAUGAGAGCUUUCUAAGGGAAUCAAUGGUCUAUGUAUAUACAUGUUUAUAUACAUACUAGUGGCCCGGUGCACGAAUUUGUGCACAUUGAAAGGAAAUUAAUUAGAGGAAAUAUUUUAAUAUCGCUAUUUGCCCUUUCUCUAUAACAGAAGUGUCAACCAAAUUCACAAUCAACAAGGACAGAUGGAAACACUUGUGCAAUUGGCACUAGUGAGAGUUAUAUGUAUCAUGCAUGUGCUAGUCAACUUAGCCUUUUAUAUAUAUAUAGAAUGAACUUGCUUAGUUAGACCUGCUUUCUGAUUUAGCUAAACUUUUUCCAGCCCAGUGAAG